UACGUAGGGUCCAAGCGUUAUCCGGAAUUACUGGGCGUAAAGAGUGCGUAGGCGGCGCUCUAAGUUCGGUGUGAAAUCUCUCGGCUUAACUGGGAGGGUGCGCCGGAAACUGGAGUGCUCGAACGUGGGAGAGGAAAGCGGAAUUCCUGGUGUAGCGGUGAAAUGCGUAGAUAUCAGGAGGAACACCUGCGGUGUAGACGGCUUUCUGGACCAUUGUUGACGCUGAGACACGAAAGCGUGGGUAGCAAACAGG
rnacentral:rRNA from 1 species